GACGAACGCUGGCGGCGUGCUUAACACAUGCGAGUCGAACGGAAAGGCCCUGCUUUUGUGGGGUGCUCGAGUGGCGAACGGGUGAGUAACACGUGAGUAACCUGCCCUUGACUUUGGGAUAACUUCAGGAAACUGGGGCUAAUACCGGAUAGGAGCUACUGCUGCAUGGUGGGGGUUGGAAAGUUUCGGCGGUUGGGGAUGGACUCGCGGCUUAUCAGCUCGUUGGUGGGGUAGUGGCUUACCAAGGCUUUGACGGGUAGCCGGCCUGAGAGGGUGACCGGCCACAUUGGGACUGAGAUACGGCGCAGACUCCUACGGGAGGCAGCAGUGGGGAAUAUUGCACAAUGGGCGGAAGCCUGAUGCAGCAACGCCGCGUGCGGGAUGACGGCCUUCGGGUUGUAAACCGCUUUCGCCUGUGACGAAGCGUGAGUGACGGUAAUGGGUAAAGAAGCACCGGCUAACUACGUG
rnacentral:rRNA from 1 species